rnacentral:tRNA from 1 species
ACCUGGGUGGCUGAGUCAGUUAAGCAUCCGACUUACGCUCAGAUCAUGAUCUCAUGGUUUGUGGGUUCAAGCCCCACGUCGGGCU